GAUGAACGCUGGCGGCGUGCCUAAUACAUGCAAGUCGAGCGAACAGACGAGGAGCUUGCUCCUCUGACGUUAGCGGCGGACGGGUGAGUAACACGUGGAUAACCUACCUAUAAGACUGGGAUAACUUCGGGAAACCGGAGCUAAUACCGGAUAAUAUAUUGAACCGCAUGGUUCAAUAGUGAAAGACGGUUUUGCUGUCACUUAUAGAUGGAUCCGCGCCGCAUUAGCUAGUUGGUAAGGUAACGGCUUACCAAGGCAACGAGGCGUAGCCGACCGGAGAGGGGGAUCGCCCACACUGGAACUGAGACACGGUCCAGACUCCUACGGGAGGCAGCAGUAGGGAAUCGUCCGCAAAGGGCGAAAGCCUGACGGAGCAACGCCGCGUGAGUGAUGAAGGUCUUCGGAUCGUAAAACUCUGUUAUUAGGGAAGAACAAAUGUGUAAGUAACUAUGCACGUCUUGACGGUACCUAAUCAGAAAGCCACGGCUAACUACGUG
rnacentral:rRNA from 1 species